rfam:Acinetobacter sp. TGL-Y2, complete genome.
GGCUAUGUAGCUCAGUUGGUUAGAGCAUCGCACUCAUAAUGCGGGGGUCACAGGUUCAAAUCCCGUCAUAGCCA